UAAUGCGUUCUUUGAAUUUUAUUUGUGUAGAAGAAAUUGAGGAAGAAUCAGAAACCACAAUUGAAGCCGACUUGACGGAUAAACAGAAGCAUCAGCUGAAACAUAGGGAGCUCUUCUUGUCACGCCAGUAUGAAUCUCUGCCUGCAACGCAUAUCAGGGGAAAAUGCAGUGUUGCCCUUCUGAAUGAGACAGAGUCAGUAUUGUCGUAUCUUGAUAAAGAGGACACCUUUUUCUACUCAUUGGUCUACGACCCUUCAGUGAAAACACUGUUAGCUGACAAAGGUGAAAUCAGAGUGGGGCCUAGAUAUCAAGCAGACAUUCCAGAGAUGCUCUUAGAAGGAGAAUCAGAUGAGAGGGAACAGUCCAAAUUGGAAGUUAAAGUUUGGGAUCCAAAUAGCCCACUUACGGAUCGACAGAUUGACCAGUUCUUAGUUGUAGCACGUGCCGUGGGGACAUUCGCUCGAGCCCUUGAUUGCAGCAGUUCUGUGAGGCAGCCGAGUCUGCAUAUGAGCGCAGCUGCGGCGUCUCGAGACAUCACCCUGUUUCACGCUAUGGAUACGUUGUAUAGGCACAGCUAUGAUUUGAGCAGUGCAAUUAGUGUCUUAGUACCACUUGGAGGACCUGUGUUAUGCAGAGAUGAAAUGGAAGAGUGGUCAGCCUCUGAAGCUAGUUUAUUUGAAGAGGCACUGGAAAAAUAUGGCAAAGACUUCAAUGACAUACGUCAAGACUUUCUCCCUUGGAAAUCAUUGACUAGCAUCAUUGAAUAUUAUUACAUGUGGAAAACUACUGACAGAUACGUGCAGCAGAAACGUCUAAAAGCAGCAGAAGCCGAGAGUAAACUGAAGCAAGUGUAUAUCCCAACUUACAGCAAACCAAAUCCCAACCAAAUAUCUGCCAGCAAUGGCAAACCUGGUGCUGUGAAUGGAGCCGUGGGGACCACAUUCCAGCCACAGAAUCCCCUCCUAGGGCGAGCGUGUGAGAGCUGCUACGCUACACAGUCUCAUCAGUGGUAUUCUUGGGGCCCACCUAAUAUGCAGUGUAGAUUGUGUGCGACCUGUUGGCUCUAUUGGAAAAAAUACGGAGGCCUGAAAAUGCCCACCCAGUCAGAGGAAGAGAAGUUAUCACCCAGCCCAACUACAGAGGACCCCCGCGUUAGGAGUCACAUGUCUCGCCAGGCCACGCAGGGGAUGCCAGUCCGAACCACGGGGAGCCCAAAGUCUGCAGUGAAGACUCGCCAAGCUUUCUUCCUUCGCACUACGCACUUCACAAAAUUUGCUCGUCAGGUCUGCAGAAGUACCCUCCGGCUGCGGCAGGCAGCGAGACGGCCGUUUGUUCCUAUUAAUUAUGCUGCCAUUAGGGCAGAAUAUGCAGACAGACAUGCCGAGCUAUCUGGAAGUCCACUGAAAAGCAAAAGCACUAGGAAACCUUUGGCAUGUAUCAUUGGGUAUUUAGAGAUCCAUCCUUCGAAGAAACCUAAUGUAAUUCGAACUACGCCAAGCCUGCAAACCCCCACUACCAAGCGGAUGCUAGCCACCCCGAAUCACACGUCUCUGAGCAUUUUGGGGAAAAGAAACUACAGUCAUCACAAUGGCCUGGAUGAAAGGCUCAUGAAGUGAAGGCCCAGCUCUGUUCCAUCCUGCAGACCUUCCUCAGGAUGGCGGGAGGCUGUGAAGAACUCACAUGCUGCGUGUCGGACUGAGCUAACCCUAUUUCAUACUAUAAGCCAAGACUUGCUACACUGUCCUGCUGAUGUUCGCAGCCGUGCCUGGGAAGGAGGCAGCCCCAUUUCCAGCACAUUUCAGUGGGAGACCUACACAUGUGCCCCCUGGAGACUCGGUGGGGCAGGGGAAGAAACUGUGGGAGUGCACGUCCCCAAAGCCGCGUCUCCAUGUGUGAAUCAGUGUCACCUCGCUUUCCUCUCAGAGACUUCACUGUCCCAUAGCAGGACCUGCCUGAAAAUGGAGGGGACAAGGGGGCCCUCAGUCUCCUCCUUCUCCAGCACUCCGUUCCCAGGCACCGCGGCUCCUCGGGCAGCGGAGCGCCUAAGAGCUCAGAGCUGCUGCUGCCCUGCAUGUGUCAGCUCAGCCCUAUUGUCAGCGCCAUGAUGGUCUACGGGAGGGACAUGGCCGCUUUCUGGAUGGAUUUUUCUGAAGAAAAGUGCCAGCGUUUAUGGAG